UACGGGGGGAGCAAGCGUUGUUCGGAUUUACUGGGCGUAAAGGGCGCGUAGGCGGUCAGUGCAAGUCAGUUGUGAAAUCUCCGGGCUUAACUCGGAAAGGUCAACUGAUACUGCUCGACUAGAGUGCGGAAGGGGCAACUGGAAUUCUUGGUGUAGCAGUGAAAUGCGUAGAUAUCAGGAGGAAUACCGAUGGCGAAGGCAGGUCUCUGGGCUGACACUGACGCUCAUGCACGAAAGCGUGGGGAGCAAACAGG
rnacentral:rRNA from 1 species